UAUUCUUUUUUAAAAGAUAUUGAAAUACUUGAUAUGAAGGAUAAUAAGUGAGAAUAAAUAUUUCAGUGGGAGUCUGCCAGGGAUUUAAUUAUUUAUAAUCUCAGAGUAGCAUGGUAAUAAUCAUAGAGUAUCAAGAGCAAAGCCAAACUUACAUUUAUACUAUGAAUAUUUAAGGCUAACCUGCCUAUUGCUCCAGAGAGAGACAUCUUACACUUCAAGGUUGUUUUUUGUACAGAUAUCCUUGAAAAGAUAGUCCAGAACAAAGGGCAGUUAGUGACUCUGCUUGCAAGACAUGAAAGAAUGUAAGAGACCUAUGGAGAAUUGUCUCUCAACACACAUUCUCUUUGAUAAUGAUAUAGUUACUUUAUCAUUCCAUAAGAUGAUUCUUUCAUCAUGCAAAUAAGUAUGCAAAAGAACACCUUUCAAGACAUGCCAUAGUUCUUUCAAGCCCCAGAAUG
rnacentral:lncRNA from 1 species